GAUGAACGCUGGCGGCGUGCCUAAUACAUGCAAGUCGAGCGAACGGACGAGAAGCUUGCUUCUCUGAUGUUAGCGGCGGACGGGUGAGUAACACGUGGAUAACCUACCUAUAAGACUGGGAUAACUUCGGGAAACCGGAGCUAAUACCGGAUAAUAUUUUGAACCGCAUGGUUCAAAAGUGAAAGACGGUCUUGCUGUCACUUAUAGAUGGAUCCGCGCUGCAUUAGCUAGUUGGUAAGGUAACGGCUUACCAAGGCAACGAUGCAUAGCCGACCUGAGAGGGUGAUCGGCCACACUGGAACUGAGACACGGUCCAGACUCCUACGGGAGGCGGCAGUAGGGAAUCUUCCGCAAUGGGCGAAAGCCUGACGGAGCAACGCCGCGUGAGUGAUGAAGGUCUUCGGAUCAUAAAACUCUGUUAUUAGGGAAGAACAUAUGUGUAAGUAACUGUGCACAUCUUGACGGUACCUAAUCAGAAAGCCACGGCUAACUACGUG
rnacentral:rRNA from 1 species